rnacentral:rRNA from 1 species
UGGGUAUGCUACCUGAUCCGAGGUCAACCUUUGGAAAAUUGGGGGGUUUUACGGCAAGAGUCCCUCCGGAUCCCAGUGCGAGACGAAAUGUUACUACGCAAAGGAGGCUCCGGGAGGGUCCGCCACUACCUUUGAGGGCCUACGUCGACCGUAGAGCCCCAACACCAAGCAGAGCUUGAGGGUUGAAAUGACGCUCGAACAGGCAUGCCCGCCAGAAUGCUGGCGGGCGCAAUGUGCGUUCAAAGAUUCGAUGAUUCACUGAAUUCUGCAAUUCACAUUACUUAUCGCAUUUCGCUGCGUUCUUCAUCGAUGCCAGAACCAAGAGAUCCGUUGUUAAAAGUUUUGAUUAUUUUGCUUAUGCCACUCAGAAGAAACGUCGUUACAAUAGAGUUUGGUUAUCCUCCGGCGGGCGCCGGGUCCGGUCCCGCGGGGGGUCCGGUCCGGGCCGGGAGGCGUCCUUUUCAGGGGACGGCCUACCCGCCGAAGCAACAGUUGUAGGUAUGUUCACAAAGGGUUAUAGAGCGGUAACUCAGUAAUGAUCCCUCCACAGGUUACCCCUACGGAAG